GCCCCCGUAGUAUAGUCUGGAUAGAAUAAGACCCUGCGGAGGUCUAGACCCGGGUUCGAAUCCCGGCGGGGGCA
rnacentral:tRNA from 1 species